rnacentral:rRNA from 1 species
AUGGCGGCGGCCGCGCUCACCUCCUCGCGGCGAGCCCUCCACACCAUCCACCGCCACCUCCUNNNNNNNNNNNNNNNNNNNNNNNNNNNNNNNGCCCGCGCCCCUCCCACCCCCAUCCCCCGCCACUUCCCCGCCCCUCCCGCCCCCUCCCCCUCCCCCUUCUUCACCACCGCGCGGCCCGAGGCGAGGCCGCCGCGGCCCGGCCUUCCGGCCCUGCCGCAGCAGCACAAGGCGACGCAGCGGCUCGUGGGCGGGGUCAGGCAGUUCGCGAGCGGCGGCGGGGGGGCGAAGCUCGCGCCGCUCGGGCAGGGGGUGAAGGGGCUGGGGCGGCCGGUGGAGGUGGCCAAGAACGCCGCGGCGCGGUACCGGGAGGCCGUGGGGCUGCAGGUCGAGGCCUUCUGGCGGCGCAACUACCUGCUGCUCGUCGGCGCCGGCGGCGUCAUCGUCUGCAUCGCGCUCUGGCGGGUCAUGUUCGGCAUCGCCAGCACCUUCGUCGGCCUCUCCGAGGGCAUGGCCAAGUACGGCUUCCUCGCGCUCGCCACCGCCAUGGUUGCCUUCGCUGGCAUGUACGCACGUGCAAGGUUCACCAUAAAUCCUGACAAGGUUUACAGGAUUGCAAUGACAAAGCUCAAUACAUCUGCUGCAAUCCUUGAAGUGAUGGGUGCGCCCUUAGCUGGCACUGAUGUCAGAGCAUAUGUUAUGUCUGGUGGAGGCCCUAAACUAAAGGACUUCAAAUUUAGGGUUGGUGGCAAACGGUGCUUUCUUAUCUUCCCCAUCAAAGGAUCAGAAAGAAAGGGUCUUGUAAGUGUUGAGGUCAAGAAGAAAAAAGGACAGUAUGACAUGAAGCUGCUUGCUGUUGACAUACCGAUGGCGACAGGCCCUGACCAGCGGCUAUUCCUUGUCGGCGACGAGCAGGAGUACAAGGUUGGUGGAGGUUUGAUAUCCGAGCUGCGGGAUCCUAUAGUGAAGGCUAUGGCUGCAGAAAAGGAGUUUGAUUAUCUUGAUGAAAGAGAGGACGCGGAGGAUGAGCGCAGGGAGCGAGAGGAGGCCGAGGAAGAGGCGGCCGAAGCGUUGAGGCGAGAGGAGGACAGAUUACGCGAGGAGGCGAAAGAGAGGCAGCGGCGAGAAGCUGAGAAUCUUGAGAAAGGCAGCUGA